AGAUGGCUUUUGGUACACCACAGAGAGGCUAUUAAAUUCAUCAAAAAUGCGAUCUUUUAUUUCACUGCUAUGCGUAUCAGCAAAGACAGAAACAGGUUGCUUUGGAGGAUUCACAACACGUUCUGCAAUUGACACAUUGUAUUGCAAUAGCCUGUAGUAGAACAAGGCUCUAUCAUGAACAUCCUGGUGGAAAUCAGCAAGGCCUGCAGCUAGUGCAGCUCCUAAUGCUUUCUGAGUCUCAGGUGGUCUCUUAAAAAAACAUUUCAUUACUGCUGUGAGGAGAUGCAAACGAACCUCAGCAGAAUGCUCAUCAUCCCAAUUCUCAGUUAAACCCUCUAGAAUAUAAGGAGCAUCAUUCAUGUCCUGAGAAUAUUCCCCUAACAUCCAUAUAAGAGCUGCUUUGGCCUUGGGUUCUUGAACAUUUUUGCUGCUGAUAUUCCCAACAACUGCGAUGCAAUCAUGACUCCAUUGAGGGUAUUUCCUCAGUAGAUCUUUAACAAGAACCAAAGCUUCAGCAGUCACAUAGUCCUUUUCCAUCUCCAAAAACUGAAGCAGCCUAUCAACAAUAGCAUUCACAUCAUACUGCUGCAGUGCUAUCUUUCCAACAGCCCGAAUUGACUCUCUUGCAAUCGGAAUAUCAACAUUUGCAGCAUAUUCACAUAAUUCUGUCACAAUUUCAUAAGUAUUGGUCUCAUUUGCAACUGCAGUCAACAUUUCAAGCUUCAAUUUUUUGA
rnacentral:misc_RNA from 1 species